UCAUUUCGAUACAAGCAUCGGUACAGUGUGUGAUACAAAAGUGCUUUGAAAACUGCGUCGGAGCAUCGGAGCUCCGGUAUCAACCGUCCCAUCACUACAUAAUUUUUUACAGUUUAUGCUCCAGAUCGUCGUAUUGAUGCAAGCUGUUUUGUGAUAGAGAGAAAUAGAAAGUAAGUUUGUGAGCUGCCUGAAGCACGACGAACGAGCUGCAAUGUCUUCUUUUGUGAAGAAUAUAACAAAUAUCAGUGAAAGUUCAAGCUCAAGUGGGUUCAGCUCUGCGUCUGCGAUGAGUGACUGGUCAAAAGAUGGUGACAUGCCUUAUUUCAGACAGAUAACACCAAGACUAGACAGUGAAAGCUGGCUAAAACGUGUUGGUGGCUGGAUUGCAUCUUGGUUUUAAUCUUAGAAACCUGUGAAAUGAAUGAGACCAUCAUUAUCAGGUUGAAUACAGGAGGAAGAAGAGCUCGGGUGGGAUAUUGGGACUAAACUCAACCAUAAUGAAGCCAUUCAUGUUUCUUAUCUUAAAUCUGAUCUUGUAUUUCUGUAUGUUUUGUGUUAUAUCCAUCUUGUGAUUUAUACAGAAAAUAUUUAAAUUUGCAUUUGUAAGUUGUUAGUGCUAGUACUAAGGAGAGGCAGAUUCUCCUUGUGCAACACAUUUAUUUGAAAUAAACGCUUGAUUCUUAAUACUGUGUUGUUACCUGGAUGAAUAAUGACUGUUUAAGCUGCCAACUGUUUUUCAGAUAAAAUCCUUCACUCAUUCACUGAUAUUCAAGAAGCCUUUAAUCUUUAAGUAAUGGCACUAAUAAUCAACUUUUGAACUGGAGCUUUUGUGUAAAUUCAGUCAUUUUGUCUUGUGGUCUGUAUGUAAACAUUUGUUGUGUAAAAUAGCUU